AGUGAAGCGGCAAGAGCUCAAAUUUGAAAGCUGGCCCCUUCGGGGUCCGCGUUGUAAUUUGCAGAGGAUGCUUCGGGUGCAGCCCCCGUCUAAGUGCCCUGGAACGGGCCGUCAUAGAGGGUGAGAAUCCCGUCUGGGACGGGGUGUCUGCGUCCGUGUGAAGCUCCUUCGACGAGUCGAGUUGUUUGGGAAUGCAGCUCUAAAUGGGUGGUAAAUUUCAUCUAAAGCUAAAUACUGGCCGGAGACCGAUAGCGCACAAGUAGAGUGAUCGAAAGAUGAAAAGCACUUUGAAAAGAGAGUUAAACAGCACGUGAAAUUGUUGAAAGGGAAGCGUUUGCGACCAGACUCGCCCGCGGGGUUCAGCCGGCAUUCGUGCCGGUGUACUUCCCCGUGGGCGGGCCAGCGUCGGUUUGGGCGGCCGGUCAAAGGCCCUCGGAAUGUAUCACCUCUCGGGGUGUCUUAUAGCCGAGGGUGCAAUGCGGCCUGCCUGGACCGAGGAACGCGCUUCGGCUCGGACGCUGGCGUAAUGGUCGUAAAUGACCCGUCUUGAAACACGGACCAAGGAGUCUAACAUCUACGCGAGUGUUCGGGUGUCAAACCCGUACGCGCAGUGAAAGCGAACGGAGGUGGGAGCCCCCUCGCGGGGCGCACCAUCGACCGAUCCUGAUGUCUUCGGAUGGAUUUGAGUACGAGCGUAGCUGUGGGGACCCGAAAGAUGGUGAACUAUGCCUGAAUAGGGCGAAGCCAGAGGAAACUCUGGUGGAGGCUCGCAGCGGUUCUGACGUGCAAAUCGAUCGUCAAAUUUGGGUAUAGGGGCGAAAGACUAAUCGAACCAUCUAGUAGCUGGUUCCUGCCGAAGUUU
rnacentral:rRNA from 1 species